AUUUCUAAUAUUUAGGAUCAACAAGAACGCUACGCCCCGUCCAGAAAGUAACGUUAACGCUUCACACCGGCGAGCUGAGUGGGCGGAGCCUAAUUCUCCCAGAACGGACGUUGUUUGUACAACAGAACAAGAAGGAUCUGUGUACGAGAACACGAAAAACAUAUAUGAAAACUGAAAACUCAACAAUCGUCUAUUCCUUAAAAAGGCUACUUGAAAGACGAAGAGCUCCACAACAAGACGACACAUUUAUCAGACACAACAUAAUUAUUACCUUAUUCAUCUCAACAGUUAAUGUGUUAGUAAGGAUUUCUUAAUCCUCUAAUAGACAGAAAAAGUGGUAUUUCUGCUGCAUUUACUGUCAAAAGCCAUUCCAAUUUUCACUGUCCAU